UAAUUAUCCUCUGGUAAAAGAAAAGCUUUAUUUCAGGCAGUGCUUUUCUGCAUUACACUGACAAUGUGAUGGAAGUUUAGAUGGAAAGCAGCUUUUCUAGUAAGAAGCUGGCAUGAAAGUGAUGGGAAAGGAGACAAAAAGAGAAGAGAAUUUUUCACCUGUUUUAUAGUAUUUUGUCAUGACCUUUUCUUUUCAAGCCUUUCUUCUCUUCUUUUGCACCGAAUUUUGAUUUGAAUUUGAAAAUUGCCACACUGUUUCCUUCCUAAAAUUGUAACUGGCAUUCCUAGAAAAAUUGUUUUCCCAGAAAAGCCACUGUGCGUAGGCUUCAAAUUCAGCUUUUCGCAAGUGAGAAGACGACAUUUUCUUCAAUAACCUACACUGCCAACCUGACCACAAAACAUGGGCAAAGUCAGCACUGGCCUGCUUCAGUCAGGCUCUUCAGCACCUGAUCCAGCUGACUACUCAAACAUGUUCAUCCAGAUGGGCACGCUGUCCUUACCUGAGAAGCCUCUGCAGCACAGGUUUGGCCCUGGACUGACCCAGAAAGGUGUGGAAGAGAACCACAAAGUUCUGUCAGCUGGCAGUCUAGGGAGGGCUGUGUUCAAGGUGAAAUCCUCACUGCUUCUCCACCACCCUUCCUCAGGAAGUGACAGCAGUGACAAAACACUGUGCUGCUUGCCAUGAGCAGCUCCAAACUAAAUGUUUGGAAUGAGCAUUUUAGCCCAUUUUGUUGUGGCACUUUGUGCAGAGCAAGCUUCAGGCUCCAGCAGUUGUGGAUUCAGAUCACAUGUAAAAAAAAACAAAAAACCAAAAACCAACAAAGGAUAGUUGCAGUGACUCAUGUAAUUGCGAGUCCCAUUCAGAUGCAGAGCCUUAAACAGGACAUGGAAUUAGUAAUGCUGCAGAAAGAACAGAAUGUAAAAUAUUUCUAGAGUAGAAACCACCUGACAUCCAUAGUGGACUGCUUUAAACACAGUAAUGCUACUUUAAAGCCUGUGCUGUCUUUGACUCAACAGAGACCAAACGGGAGGUUUGUUCAUGUAGAAUUCUUCACUCACAGAGUUGCCUAGGCCUGCUGGGAGUUGUGUUUAUUUUGAAUGUGUUUUUGAAUGUUUCUGCAGCUGACUCAAAGAACAGAAAAGGAAAAGGUGAGCUGCUACAAGCACCCCUGCCAGGUAGGGUAGGGAGAACAAGAGGGGAGACUUGUGGCCUUGACAUCAGGAGGCUGUGAGGAAGAAUGGUCCAAAAAAGUUAUUCUAAGUGAGCAUGGUACUUCUGUGUUCCUGGAGAAAGGCUGCUGGAGCUGUAUCUCUUCAGGAUGCCAGUGUGCAGGGUCAUUCACGGUGGGAGCCUCUGGAGGUUGCUUUCAGCACCUUUUAAGGUCCGCCUGAUCCUCCGGUGACUGCAAAGGUGGCAUCAGGAUUUUGCCUCCCUUCACUGAGGUUGGUCUACAUGAGUAUCUCAAAGUUUUCAUUUCUCUUUCCAUUUAAUUUGCCAUUUCUAAAGAUCUUUAAUACAACUUUUUCUUGACAUUUGAAUCUUACAUCUUUUAAACUUCAGCCAAGGCAAUUUUCUUGUCUGUAUUUAUGAUUGCAUUGAUUGUGCAUAAAAAUGUCUUAUCUGGGCAGAGCAGGAUCCAAGUACCCCAGGCUGCUGCUACCUUUGGCACUGGCUGUGGGAGAAUCUUAGUGAAGAGCAGGAGACAAGGGCAUCCUAAAGGCACACCCCUUCCAUGGACUGGUGCUGUAGAAACCUGUGGAGCCACAGUAUGCACCCAUCAAUUGAAAUCAAAGGAGUUUGUCCAGUCCUUUUUUGACCUGAGCUGUGCUGCUGCCCACCAUACUGUUCAAUGGCAAUAAGCUGCACACUGUCAUGUGUUCAAUGGCAAUAAGCUGCACACUGUCAUCGUUCUGUUGUUGAGGAACCCCAGCUGCAGUGGAUACUGAAGGCUCAGAUUCCCUCUCCUGUAUUGGUGGCUGGUGUGUGUUGAGAGUGGAUAACCAGGAAGAUGCUGACUUCUCGUGUACAGUGGGAGCAGCUGAGAUCCAGGGACAAAUCUUCAAAUUCUUUACCUUAAAACUCCAGUGAAGGCAAUGGAGAGUUUCAAAUACAGAAAGAUUGAGACAUGGGAAUUCAGUGCCUGGUUUGUAAAGGUCCAGCUCUACCAGCUUGCCAUGGCUGCUGCUGCCCUGCUCAUGGUGGGAUGAGGGGAUUCCCUCGCCCUUCCCUGGUGGCUCAGCAACAGCACAGGGACAUCGGCCACCUGCGGUCACAGCGCCACAGACACCUGGGCAGUGUGGAGAAGGAACCCAUUGCAUGGUGUGGAGUGGGUGGUACCCAGAUUUACAGCAUGUGUGUGGGGCAGGGGCAGCUCUGAGCUGCCCUGCUCUCCCCUCAGUGUCACAGGGGUUUGGGGGUGGCUUCCCUUGCAGCUGCCUGUAGGGCAGGCGCAGUGGCAGAGACCAGGUCCCACCUGGGCCAGCUCUGAGCGUGGGAGAGGUCUUGGGACCUUUAGACCAGCGGAGCAAACCUGUGAAAUGUGUGAAACUGGAGAAGCCAAGCAAGACCCUUCCGGCGUGGAGUGGGGAAUGGCUCACUCGGCGUCAGGGAGUGGGAAACUCCCGCUAUUUAUAUUUUGGUCAGUGGAAGAAAGGGUCACACCCAUCCAUCUCAUUAGUACAAAAAAGUAUUGGCAACACCACAGUCCCCACCUUUCCUUCUGCCAGGGUUCUCCGAGCACCUGGUCCUGUGCCAGAGGGUUUAAUGGGUUACCCUGCACAGCCUGGGACGGCGGCGUCGCGCGGGGCUGCACAUUCCUGGGUAUGUGCACACAGCCGUGACCGACGCGGGCUGAGGGGCCACGGCCCUGGCUGGCGGGGUGAGAGGUGUUAAUAAUGCUGGGGAAGGUGAAAACAUAAUUGAAACCGUAUAUUUUGGGGGGCAUGCAGGACACAACGAGGUGAUAGCUUCUGAGCAACAGAUACCUGUAAUUCUCCUAACCUGGUCUUACAGACUUUUAAUUUGCUCUACAGAUUUGGCUAGUUGCAGAACAUGUAAACACCCAGAACUGUACACGGCAAACCAUUAAAUAUUAACUUAUUGUCGACUUAAAAAAAGCCCCACUCAUGAUAUUAAAAACAUAAGGGGAAAGAGAUGCCAAGCUAGUGAAUGAAGCCAGCUGACUGCUGAGAAGAGGCUACAGGGUUUGCUCUGUAGCUUUGCUGUUUUCAGUAAUCUGACUCACUGAGAUAUUUUUAGACACAGUAACAAGUUCCAUUGUUAAGUAAUUUUUCAUUUGAAUUUUUCUCAAAUUAUGCUGUCCUCUUGGCCUGCAAAUCCCUUUCUUCAGCAAGGCAGUGCUGCUCGCUACACCCCAAGGAGGAAGGGGAGCUGUGGAGGACUCUGAUGAUUUGGACCACAUUGUGGAACAAGAUAGAUCUCAGCAUCAGGUUGGCAGGAUAUUUCCCUUUCUUCAAAGGUCUCCAAACCCAGCAAGAUUUUCUUUGAUAUCUCUCCAAAGGGAUUUAUCAGCAUUGGGGCAUACAUUUGUUUAGAUUGUUCCUGUAGGGUGGGACUUUCAAAGGAGAAAAAGGAUGCCAAGUGCCAAAUUCUCACCAAGUUCUCCAUAAAUAUUUCCUUAGCUUCCUUUGAAAAUGCCAGCUGUGCUCCCCAUUGCCCUGUGCAUCCCUGCUGGAAAGGUGCCCAACGGUACCCUCACAAUGUGGGCACAAGGGAUACAGGAAAGAUGGUGACAUUUUAAAAAUCAGGAGGAAGAACUGGCCUGAGAGAGAGGAAAUGCAUGAAAAUGUGCAGGUUGGGGAGGAAACAAAGAGGGAAAUGGAGACCAAAUUCCCUAGACCCGUCAUUGUUUGGUUUUUUAUUCUUCCUCUCUGCUUAUAAUUUCUCUCAGGUUUUCCCUGACAUGUUUUAGUUAAAACAAGAGAUGAGCAUCUACUGAGAGCAGGGGCAGAACUCAGGCCCUGCCCCCAACCUGUGCUUGUGCUCUGGGCUUGAGAAACAUCAGAACAGACACGGGCGACCUGACAGCACCAGGCAUUAGUCUGGUCCCCUCAGGGCUCCCACAGGACAAGCAGAGGCUGUGCCCUAGGACAGGGCCACAGGGAAGCCAGAGGUUUGGCAACUGUUUGUCUUAUGUACUUUUCAUGAAGCAGGGCCAAGUCCUCCGUGAUGGUAACUCACUGCCUCAGAAGUGAGCAGGAGAUCCACAGGGAGCUGCAUAGAGACAUUCGGGCCAGUAGCUCCCAAAUAACAAAUGCACUGAUGUCCAGGCAAGGACUGCCAGAGCAAUUUGUUCUCCUGCCCUGGGGAAAGGGCCUGAUGAGGGCUGUUUGGAGAGGAUGUCAGAGGAGGAAUUUUUAUUUUAUGAGUAAGGAGAUACAGAGGCUCUUUCUGAUCUGUUCUAGGUGCAUUAAUGAUUUGUGAGCUGCAGCAGGGUUUGUGGUCCUCUGGUUAUUUUGCAGGCUGAAAGAUCCUUCCAAGUUCUCUAAUACCUAGUAUUUGUAGUCAUGUACCUGGCUGGAUUUUUUAAAUGAUAAGUACCUAGAGAUUGCUGAGAGCCACAACAUGUCUUAAACCUAGUUUCUCCUUAGUGUUUGUUUGUUUCCAGAUACAAUUUAAGAUGUUGGUUUUGCCCCUAAGUCCCCAUAGCUUGAUGUUGCACAGAAAAGUGGUACUGUAAUAAUUUGUUUUAUAUCAUGAGCUAAGUAAACCUCAGCACAUCCCUUCUCAUCCCAUGUUGAUCCAAGGAUUAGAUGUCAGCUCCCUAAUUCAGUGAGGAAAGGCACAGACCUGCUGCAGGAGCUCUGCCCGGUGCUUCUGAGGAGGGUGAGGGCAGCAGGAUGCUGAGGCAGAGAGGGAGCAGAGGCCCUUGAGUCCUUGUCUCUUGCAGAGAGCUGGAGGGCAGAGGGAAGAGCCUGGAGAGACUCCCAGUUUGUCACUGGGGCACUGAAUGGGGCCGGCAGCUACCCCGGGAAGUCCUCGGAUCUCAGCCAGGAAUGGUUGUUGAAAGGAGCUUCAUUAAGCGCUCCUGACUGUAAGUUUUGGGAAAUCUGGGUUUCACUUUGAUUUAUUUCAAACAUUCAGCUACCAAGAAUAAAAUAAGGACCUCUCAUAUGUGUUUUGGAGAGCUAAUAAAACGUAUUUACAUGUCUGCAAAGCCCUUUGCCAUGUGCAGUUGAAUCACCAUUGCAAAUCUACCCGAACAUGGUGCUCCAGCAUCAGCCUCCAGAUGACAUGUAACGUGUUUGUGGUUUGAUGGCCUUCACUCAAAAGGCUGGCUACAAUAUUUUUACAUUUAGAUUUAUUUUUGGAGUUUAUGGUUGAAAGAUUUCGGCUCUGGGCAGCCUUUCCUAUGGCUUUUAGCAGCGACACUUGCAGUUCUGUUUCACGUAAUUAAACAGCCAACAAUACUUAAUGAAGAAAUAAAUAACAUCAAUAAAGUAGUAAAUAAUUAUAUGCAGGCAAACACCAAAGACAUUAUCCAUCAGGCAACAGCUGUGAGCAUUAGUUUUGAUUAAUCAAUAAUGUUGUACAAUAGGAGCAGGAAUGCUGGCCAGGCCUCUAGGGGAAUCACCAGCGCUUUUCUAAGCAGCAAGCAUUGUGAUUUUAAGCAGAACUUUCAGCAGAAUCUUUAAUUAAAUGUAACAGCCAAGAUCUCCUCCAGCAGCAUUGCUGCACUUCUCAAAGCCCACCGAGCAGCUGGAGUUUAACCAAGACCCACUUAGGGAAUUUUGUGCAGCUGGGAAGGUUUCUUGGUACAUUUGUGUUGGGGGAUGCCAGUGGGGUACCACGUCCAUCAGCGAGGGCACUGUUGAGCCAAGGGUGCUUUGGUGGGGUUUGGUGACCCUCCGGCAAGGGCCCAGCAGUGCCUGGCUUGUACCACCUGGGAAAAAUGAGCUGGAGCUUUUGGCUCUGCCUCCAGCAAGGUGGCAGAGGGCGUGCGUGCCCAGCCUGCAGCUGGAGCCCACAGGGCCCCACCCCAGUCUGGGCAGCUCUCAGAGCAAGUGCCUGUUCUGUAUUUUGUUUCCAAAUGUAAAUAUGGCUGAAACUUCCCAUCCAUGCUGCGGCUCCUCAGGAACCUGAUCUGGGCAGGUUCACGACAAAAUCAGCAAAGACUGGUUCAUCCUUAUCUGUACCUCCUGGAAGAGGAGCCUUAAUGAAGCUUCCAGGAAAAACAGAUCUCCCUCCAGGCCUACCCCUCUUGCUGAGCGCUCCUGCCACCAGCCCACAGAAUUCCGUGGCACUGCUGUCUAUUGAGGCAGCAUCCCUGGAUUGUGCUGAGAGGUUCUGCUGCAAUCAGCCAGCCAGAGCAUGGGCUUCUUCCUUUCCUGUUUUUUCCCCCCUUCUUUAGUGUAUAAGAGCUUUAAAAGAAGGUGAACCAUGGAGAAAGGCUGAUCACGGCACCAGAUCCCAACUUAGAUAAAAAGCACAAGGUUUUGCAGUCAUUACCCCAUUAAAAGAGAAAGAGGAGAAGGACAGGAAGGGUUUCUGGCAUGUCAGGGACCGGUUUCCAGAGUCUGUGCUCACAUCUUGAUGGUUUGUUCCUCAUGAAACCAAUUGUUGAUGACUUCUUAGGCAUCUGAGUAAGCAACAGCAGCACAUUGCUUCCACCAUGAGUACGAUGCUGGGGACACCUCCCCACCAGUGGAGACAGGAGCAUGAGAAGGGAGUGAAGCAAAAGCUGUGGCUUGGCUUGACAUGAACAGAACAGAUGUGCUGACCCACUCCUGAAGGGUUACUUUAAUUCUCUGACAUGGCAGAUGCACGUAGGAAUUUUGCAAGCAUAAGGCACAUGAGUUUGUUGAGCUAAAAAUGGCAAAUCUCCAGAGAGGGAUGGACGGGGAAAGCCCUUGGCUCUUGUUUGAGAAAUGGAGGCUUGCAGAAGGCAAUGGGGGAAACAUCCACAUGACUUAAAAACUCAAACAGUGCCCAAAGACCGGUCUUGGAGCCUUUUUUUCCCAAGCCUUCUCAGCGGGAAAACCAGGAACAGAAAUUUCACAUGAUAAUUGCUGAUAGUGCAACAACCCCCAGAGGGUUUCCUUACCCGCUCCUCAACAUGCAGGCACUAAUAAACUCCUGUGUUAACAUUAAUAUUCCUGAUAGUCUCUGUAGGCUCCUUCUCCCAAAUGUGAAUCUCAUUAACAUCUGUGAACCCAAAGUACAUUUGUGGGCGUUUAAAGGUGUAUCCUGUAAAUUGGGGGCUGCUGCCCGCUCACAGCCCCUCAGAGCACCUGCCAGCCAGGAAUGGUAGCACUGACUGCACUGCUGGGGCCUGGCAUGGCAAAUGGGUACUGCCAAGUCUACACAAAUCUGGUUACAUUUCAGGUAGUGCCAAGUGAAAACUGCUCACAUUUCUUGUUUAAAAUUUGCAGAUAGGAUUAUGGUUUCCUCCCUCCCCUGUGAAGGAUCCGAGGGCUGUUCCCAGAGGCACAGAGCACACAUGUACAAUUCUCUGUGGAUGCUAAGGCUGGUGAGGACAAAUUGACUGUUUCUUGCAAAAUAAAGUCUCAGUUUCAUGUUUUUAAAUAAUUACUACAGUGUAGGUAGCCUAUAUUACAAGACAGGAGAGCAUAUCAAUAAGCCACAGCUAAAGGCAAAGGUAAAGGGUUUGGAGUUCUUUUUUUAGUUCUUUGUCACAUUCUUUCACAGAGUACCCCUAUUGGCUUCUUCAGGAACAGUAUUUAUGGCAGAUAUUAAUUUGUUCAAUGAGAUAAUUUUUUUAAAUUACAGAUAAAGAGUAAGUUUUUGCUACAAUACUGAUCUCUUUCCAGGGAAGCAGCAUCUUAAUAACAAAUAUGGUAUGGACACAACUUCAGAAAAAAGACUCACUCUAGGUCCAGUUGUAAAGUACCUUAAAUAGUACUUUUUCCUACCUGGAAUAAGGCUUCUGCAGACCUUUUUUUCCCAAGCAGACAAUAUUUGGCAUCUUACACACUGCAUCAGAUAAGACAAGUGGAUGAUGUUCAGGUAUUUCUCUGCAGUCCUGUUAUUCCUGCUUUGUUUUAUUGAGCUGAAACUCUGGAUUCCUAAACCUGGGAAGGGCAGAUCUCAUCAGGCCUCCUCCUUUCUUGCUGUCCUGAGCCUGUGCAUGCCACUGACUCUGCUCAGAGUGGGUUUUCCUGUGGGUUGCUGUUUUCUGGUAGUUUUGGUAGGGGUGGAAGCGCUGCCGCCAGGCGCGGUGCCCAGCAGCUCUGGCCUCCUUGUGGCUGUCACCAAGGACCAUGCUGUCCUCUGGUUUCACCAAAAUUCAGGGCUUGGGAGUGAAAUCUUUUUGAAGGACUGCAAUUUAUAGAUCCCUUUUUAUCGCUAAGCUAGGUAAAGCACCUCUCAAAGUCAUUAUUCAAAUGUGGCAUAUGUUUUGCUGUGAAUUUUCAGUAGAACUCUUUCCAGUGAUUUCCAAAAUAAAUGAGACUUUGCAUAGUACUUUUUCCGUAUUUAACAUUGCCUUCCUGGCUUUGCAGCCAAGGCUUCCUUUUAAAGGCAUGUGCAUGAGAUUAUGCAAUCGUAGUAUUCCGGAUACCCAGAGCAAUUAAAAUAAAUCAGGCUAGGUAUAAUGAAGAUGAGCCAAAGCAUCUGUUUCUCAAGAGGAUUUAAAAAAAACUCACCAACACUAUCAUCCCCAGGGGCCUGAGUCCAUGGUGGUUAGACCUCAGAGAUUCUUGUACUUGAGAAAUGUGUCCAGCACUCACUUGGAUUAGAAAAGGAGGCGCUGCAAAGGAGGAGAGGACUCUGGUAUGGCAGCUAUCCCUGCUCCCUGAAAACAGCGGCUGGAUAACCAGGUGUGUUUGGCAAAGCUGGACUUCCAGAUUAAUUUUGUUUCCCUUCCAGCAUUUUCGUUUGACGUGUGUACCUGGAUGGAGAGGGAGAGGAAUGACUUCUGCAUCCUCUCCAGUGUUUACCACACACAUCUUGUGUUUAUAACCUGUGGUUGUUGACGGUGGUGCCUCAGCAGGAGGUGCAGAAAUGUCCAUACCCCUGACGCCAGUGCGAGGGAGCUGGGACACAGGAGCAUUUGCCACUUGUCCUGUGAGACAAGAAGGAGACUUCAGGCCGUAGAGCUGAGGCACCAGGAGCUAUUCUGAUUUUUUUCCCCCUCCCCUGUCACUUAGCACCAGAUGCCAAAAGCUGUUUUCAGGCAAAACCAGGAAGGGGCAAAGGCUGUCUGCUGAGCCGCCUUGCUUAGCUCAGAUGGCUCAAAGACAGUUUAGCCAAAGGUUAAACUGUCUCUAAACUGUACCAGAUGAUUGACUCAUCAUCGUUGUGACAUUUGUAGCUCAGGUAAAGGAUGAGGAUGUGGGAAUAACUGCAGAAGACACUGCUAGCACUUACCAGGACACAAUCUGCAUGGAAAGGAAAGAGCAAGCUGUGGUGGGACACAUCAGCCCUGCAGGUAGUCAGGGGACCUCAGGAACGCUUCCUCUGUGUCAGGGCAUCUCAUUCUAGUGCUGGCAAGAAAGAUCUCAGUCACUGAGGUCAAAUGUCCUUGCACAAACCAAACUGGGGAAAACGGAAAAACUCAAUCCCAAAACAGAUAAGCCAGAGUUGUCAUAAGCACUUAGACAUUAGGAAGGCAGUCAAAGUCAGUAAGGAGGUGACGUCCCCUGCUUUUAUAUGAUGGCAGGGCAGAACAAAGCAAAAUCUGAGUUUGGCUGGUGCAUCCCCUGCGUGGGAAGCCCACUUUGCCCUGACUUGCUCCCUCUGAGACAACUGCUUACUGUCCCCUGAGGCUCACCAAAUUUCUUUAAAAAAAGGAAUUUCUCAGAAAAAAAAAAGCCACGACAGCUCAGACCUGUGAGGUGGAAAGAGGUCAGCUUGUUUACUUAAACUGAUUUAAAUCUGGCGCACUGAGAAUAGCAACUUGCUUUGACCACUGACUUGGGUAAAUAUGGCCUGGCAUUCUUACGGUGAUAUUUCCAGCCCCAGCUAUCCCCAUCGUGCAGGGAUAAAUAUGCACAGGUAUAUUUGCACUAAAACCAGUUGAGGUUAAUUAUUUGACAAGAGCUGGAUGUGAAAUGGCUGGCAUGCAUUUCCUCUGUGUUGUUCAGAAAGUGAAGCCCAUCUAAAGUCCUACCAGGCAACGUCCCCUUCCAGGCUUUAUGAUUAUAAAAGAAGUAGUUUGGUCACAUUUAGGAACAUUUCCAAUGGAGAAUUUUUUUUCAGGAUUUGGUGAGAAGGCAGCUAUUUUUGGCAGAUAAAUUAGCAUGUUUUCUGAAAGGAUAGCCAGGGAUUGCUUGCUGGACAGUAUCAGCAUUCCAACUUUGAAAUGACAAUUCAGCCCUUGUAACAUGAGAUGAAAUGUUCUCCGUGGCUCAGCUCCCUCUUUCUUCCAUUCCACAGCCAUCCACGCUACCACCAUACGUAACAAGUCAUAAUUUUACAUAAGUACAAGGCUGUGCUCUAAGCCAAUACACGAGUCGUGCCUGAUUGAAUAUUGCCAUUUCAGAGCCACCAUCUAAUCACAUUUUUCAGGCCGCGUGAACAAAAUAAUGUUGUUAUAAUUACACAGAGUGUUUGUGUGUAUGCGCGCGUGUGUAUUAUACAUGUAUAAUGACAUUAGGGUGAUAAUAUAGCUGUUCCUAUUAGCUCUGUGGUAUUAAUAAGGUAUGACAGAAAGUUAUUUGAUACCGUUUGAAAUCCCACUUGCAUUUUCAUAUUGCUCUCAGAUGUAAUUCAGGGACUUGAUUUUUAUGAGUUAUGGCUCUGAUGUCACUUGUAUUUUUGCCCGUAAUAGGUCCCACUGGAGCAAAAUUCAUCAGACUCAAUUAACAGCAUCUGAAAAGUGUAUUUGGUUAGCAACUGAUCAGGCAGAAAUGGUGUGGGCUCUGUUUUAGCUGACCCAUCACUCUGUGCCACUAGAUAAAACCAGCUUUGCAGGCAGCAGUUAGCAGCCACUGCAGCUCAAUUACUGUGAGAGGAAAGCAACUAUUUUGGGGGCUGCUCAGCUGCUGGUUCUUCCUGUCCCAUGGCUGCACCCCUUGUAAUGGGUCUCAGAAUACUCUGCAAUCAUCUGGGUACCCUUCUCCUUUCUGCAUGUGCAGGUGAUCUGUCCUAUUAUUUUAUUGGUGAAUAUUGAUACUCAGUGAUGAUUAUACUCAGUGAUGAUUAUUUUCUUUAAGCAGCCUGGUCUGAGAGCCCUGGGGCAAUGAGGUGCUCAUUCCAGGUGAGCUGCUAGCAGUGCUGCGAGGGAAUUAAAAACACAAUGUCAGGGCAACAAAAAGAAAUCCAAGGUAAAUAAAAAUAAUUCAAAUGCACAUAUGAAUUGAAGACUGGAGUUUGAAAGCUGAUCUCACAAUGAGUUUUCUGCUCAGUCUGGUCACUUAUUUGGGCUGGUGGAUCUUCUGAAGGGAAGGUAAAUGCUCUGACUCCUGAUAUUAUUAAUGCUUUGAGCUGGUGAUUUGUACAUCUGAUCUAAAGGGCUCCCAAAGUGAGAGACUGAUCCCAAACCCUGCUGAAGUGAACAUGGGGCUCAUGGCAAUUUCACAGGGCUUUGCAUCCCAUCCCAUGUGCUGAGUUGGGAGCAGGGGCUGGCAUCACCCUCACAACCCCUGCUCCCGCUGUGUCUUCAUCUCCCACCCUGAACACUCCUCAUAAAACUCCUCAGUGUCCUAAAGUGUGGCAGGGAAGAGCUCUGAGUAGGGAAUGAGUAAGUGAAGUGGAGCCCCAGCACUGCUGGCUGCCCCCCCGUGCAGGCACAGCGUAGAUCAGGCUGUGUUCCCUUCCAAGCACAAAGCCGGGCUUCAGGACUCCAAUUACUUCCUGUCUCCCAACAUGCCUGACCACAACUAUUUUUAAUUGUAAGGCAUGAAAAUAAAGUUAUUUAAUAAAUUAACGCUUCAAAUGCUUUUGGGUUCAACUUUGGCUGUUUAUUAGGACCAGCCUUAUUUUGGCUUCUAUGCAGUCAUUUCCAGCUACCACUCUGUUUGAUCCUCAUCUUAUUUCCUUUGUAAUCUACUGAUCUUCUGUUGUUAUCAUUGCUGUGUUUUAUGGUUUUGCAUUACUUUAUUGACUCAGUAUACUGUAGACUGUUGGGGUUUUUUUUUCCCUCUUCACUGAAAAUAGCUUUUUAUGAGAAGCUUAAGCAAAAGCCUGGAAUGUCCAAAGGAAGGCACAGAAAAAUUACAACAUUUUGCACAUUUCUUUUGGCCGGAGAAAGUUACAAAAUAUUCAUAUGAAGAAACUUAUUCAGUGCCUGCAGGACAAAAUCCAGCUUUUGAUAAUACGUGGAAUUUCAAUUUCUGCUAUAAACAGGCUCUGUAUUUUUUAUUUAUUAUUUUGAAGUAUAAAGAGUUUUCCGGGGGGGAGGGGGAAGGCUCCUAUAAAAUUGAUGUCAGAGCAAUAAUGAGUAUGCAGACCCUCACUGCUGGGAAUGUGUACUCUUCUGCACUGCACAGCUUCUGUUGCUGUCCCAUUCCAAAUGCUACCAACAUUAGAAAUGUAAGUGGGAUGCUGAUGGUCCUAUCAGGCAGCACCGGAUGAGGUGACACCAAGGGAAAGGAGGGAAAGGAGCAGUCCUACCUGCGUGAGAUUAAAAAAAAUGAACAAAUACAAACCUCUUUAUGCCCAAAAUAUUGUAACAAUCGUUUGAAGACUGUCUUAUCUGUGUGAGAAUAUAACCCUGAUUAAACAUGCCAAGGUCAGUGAAAACAAAGGUGAAUUGCAGAAGAAAUGCAUGUCAUUCUGGCCAGGAGUUCACUGGGGCUGAGAUGGAGCAGCACUCCCAGUUUUGCAGGGAUGUGUCGAGGUGUGGUCUGGCAUCACACCUGUGCAGCCCCUGACAAAACAUUCUCCUCCCAGGGCACGGAGCUCCCAAGCACAAAGUGACAAGACUUUAGUGGCCAAGAGGGCGAUUUGCAGCUCUCCUGAGCUCUUCUGCUGGGUUUGCCCAUCCAAACCAUGCUGGAGCCGGGUGGGAGCCCCAGGAGCGGGCUUGCCGUCCUCAGCGAGCAUCCCCGCCCGCCCCCGGGGUCACAGCGUUCUCACCGCUGUACGGGCCGGGAGGCCACGGACCGGACAGGCACUCAGGGCAUCUCAGAAGAGUAAAGGGCAGGAAAGGUGACACCUCUUACAAACCGUAAGGAUUUGGUAAUUCCUUCAGAGGAACCGGCAGAAAAUCAGCCUGCCCCUGCGGAAGCGCCAAGCAUCCCAGGCAGGUUUGGGCGCUGAGGCUGUCAAGGUGAAUCCCUCACCUUCAUGGCGCCAAACAUUGCCCAAAUUCCCGUGCCUGCUCCGCUGCCCGGGGCCAAGCGAGCCCCGCGCCUCGCACAGGGGUUCGCGUCACCGAACAUCACGGGAUGGGCCUCUCGGUCCCAGCGAGAUUUGUGCACCGACUGUGGCCUGCUGUCCGGCGCCGCUAUCCCUCUGUCCGACGCCGCUGUUCCUCUGUCCGGCACUCCCGUCCUUCUGUCCGGCGCCCCCAUCCCUCUGUCCGGCGCCCCCAUCCCUCUAUCCGGCACCCCUGUCCCUCUGUCCGGCGCCGCUGUCCCUCUG